GGCGCACGGGUGAGUAACGCGUGGGUAAUCUGCCCUUGGAUUUGGGAUAACUUCGCGAAAGUGGAGCUAAUACCGGAUAGUCUGGCUUUUAAUCGAAGUCGGUAAAGGAUGCCUCUGCAUAUGCAUUCGUCCGAGGAUGAGCCCGCGUCUCAUUAGCUAGUUGGUAGGGUAAUGGCCUACCAAGGCAACGAUGAGUAGCUGGUCUGAGAGGAUGAUCAGCCACACUGGAACUGAAACACGGUCCAGACUCCUACGGGAGGCAGCAGUGGGGAAUAUUGCGCAAUGGGCGAAAGCCUGACGCAGCAACGCCGUGUGAGGGAUGAAGGCUUUCGGGUCGUAAACCUCUGUCAGAAGGGAAGAACGGGCACUGGUCUAAUAGGCCUUUGUUUUGACGGUACCUUCAGAGGAAGCACCGGCUAACUCCGUGCCAGCAGCCGCGGUAAUACGGAGGGUGCAAGCGUUAUUCGGAAUUACUGGGCGUAAAGCGCACGUAGGCCGCUUUGUAAGUCAGGGGUGAAAUCCCACGGCUCA
rnacentral:rRNA from 1 species